AAUGAACGCUGGCGGCAUGCCUAACACAUGCCAGUCGAGCGAACGCACGGUAAGCUUUUUCUUUUGCUGUUAGCGAGUGGCGGGCGAGUAAGACGUGCAUCACCUACUUAUAUUUCUGGGAUGAUUACGGGGAACCAUAGCCGCUACUACAUAAUAUUUCCAACCGCAUGAUUCAAGAGUGCUUCACACUUUUCGUGUCUGUUAUAGCUGGUUCCGCGCUGGAUUAGCUAGUUGGUAAGGUAACGGCUUACCAAGGCAACGAUGCGUAGCCGACCUGAGAGGAUGAUCGGCCACACUGGAACUGAGACACGGUCCAGACUCCUACGGGAGGCAGCAGUAGGGAAUCUUGCGCAAUGGGCGAAAGCCUGACGGAGCAACGCCGCGUGAGUGAUGAAGGUCUUCGGAUCGUAAAACUCUGUUAUUAGGGAAGAACAUAUGUGGAAGUAACUGUGCACAUCUUGACGGUACCUAAACAGAAAGCAACGGCUAACUUCGUG
rnacentral:rRNA from 1 species